rnacentral:rRNA from 1 species
GAUGAACGCUGGCGGCGUGCCUAAUACAUGCAAGUCGAGCGAACAGACGAGGAGCUUGCUCCUCUGACGUUAGCGGCGGACGGGUGAGUAACACGUGGAUAACCUACCUAUAAGACUGGGAUAACUUCGGGAAACCGGAGCUAAGACCGGAUAAUAUAUUGAACCGCAUGGUUCAAUAGUGAAAGACGGUUUUGCUGUUACUUAUAGAUGGAUCCGCGCCGCAUUAGCUAGUUGGUAAGGUAACGGCUUACCAAGGCAACGAUGCGUAGCCGACCUGAGAGGGUGAUCGGCCACACUGGAACUGAGACACGGUCCAGACUCCUACGGGAGGCAGCAGUAGGGAAUCUUCCGCAAUGGGCGAAAGCCUGACGGAGCAACGCCGCGUGAGUGAUGAAGGUCUUCGGAUCGUAAAACUCUGUUAUUAGGGAAGAACAAAUGUGUAAGUAACUAUGCACGUCUUGACGGUACCUAAUCAGAAAGCCACGGCUAACUACGUG